UCGACGUGACUGAUCGCUUAGAGAUACAGAAUUCAAUAUACUAGUGAUCAGUCAAUAGUGAUAUAAUCUGAUGAGUGACUGCCCCUUGAAGGUUUUAGAUGAUCCUCUGCAUCCCUUUGUCUGAUUUUAACUUCUUAUCACUAUAACAAAGUUCAAUUAAUAACAAUCCAGAAUGAUCACUGGAACAUAAUGGAAAGGCAGAAAUCCCAAAAAGGAGAUUAUCUAACAUAUCACCAAGGACAAUUUCUGAAUAAAGAAAAAUGGGACGAAAUAGAAAGGAUUCAUAUAACCAGUUACCUAUUGAUCAAUACAGAAAGCAGAUUGGAAAUAUCACUUAUCAUGAUAGCUUUAAUAACCAUGAUUGUAUCAGUCUAUCUUCUUUUUUAUUUGUAUCUGGCAUCUCCUGCAGAAAAAAGAGUAGGAAAAGAUAACCAUUAGCAUCUUCAGCCAAGAAGUACAACUAUUCAAAUUUUAUAAAAUAUUUGCUUUUUUUAAAUAUUCCAUCUGUUAUCCAUUAUCACUGGCAUAAGGUAAAUUCAUUGUUUUCUUUUAAAACCUGAUUGUGAAUUUUUAACUAUCACUGAAAGAAAUAUGAUUUAAAGUUGGCAGGGAGCCCAGUUCAUAAAAUUAUUAAUGUAUAUAAAAUAUUUUUUAAGAAACAUCUUAAUUUUUAUUAAAACAAACUUUUAAGUGCAAAGACAAG
rnacentral:lncRNA from 1 species